UACGUAUGGAGCAAGCGUUAUCCGGAUUUACUGGGUGUAAAGGGAGCGUAGACGGCGGUGCAAGCCAGAUGUGAAAGCCCGGGGCUCAACCCCGGGACUGCAUUUGGAACUGUGCUGCUAGAGUGUCGGAGAGGCAGGCGGAAUUCCUAGUGUAGCGGUGAAAUGCGUAGAUAUCAGGAGGAACACCGGCGGCGAAGGCGGCUUACUGGACUGUAACUGACGUUGAGGCUCGAAGGCGUGGGGAGCAAACAGG
rnacentral:rRNA from 1 species